CCUCCGCCCUUCCCGCCGGCAGGCCGCGCCGCCCCCAGCCCUCCUCCUGCGCCCCGCGCCAUUUCCGCUACUCUCGCCCGAGGAGCCCCGUCCCCCUCCUCCCAGGGCCGCGCGCGGCUGACCCUCGAGCGGCAUGAGGCUGCGCCCCGAGACGUGCUGGCUGCUGCUCUGGCUGCCGCCUCUGGCCGCGCAGCCCGCGGGCGCCGAGCGCUGGGAAGAGGAGGCGGCAGCCGUCUCAGUUUCUAGGUGUAAAGCUUUGAAGGAGAUGGAUUUAGUUAAAGCUUCUCUGUCAGACUGUUACUGCUACAAUCAAAAUUCCCAAGUGAAAUGGAAGUAUAUAUGGUCAACUGUGCAGGUGAAAAUCACCAGUUCAGGCCUGCUCAGUGUUGUAUAUAUCACAGAAAAGUAUAAUUGCCAGUAUCCAGAAACCAUUCUAUCCAUCAUCAAAUGUAUGAUUCAUAACUUUUGGACACCAGAGGAGUCUAAUGAUAUAACCAUAAUCAUCCAUCCAUAUGGAGAGACUGUCUGUUUCUCUGUGAAGCCAGCCAGGAAGACAUUUAUCUAUACAAUAAGUGUGAAACAAAACAUUGUGGAUUUCAAACUGUUCUUUGUAUUUGUGGUGGGCAUCCUCCUCUUCUUUUAUGCAAAGACCUUGAGUCAAAGCCCUGCUUUCUUCUACUCUUCGGGGACUGUGCUAGGUGUUCUAAUGACAUUAGUCUUUGUCCUGUUGCUGGUGAAAAAGUUCAUUCCUAAGUAUAGCACCUUUUGGGCGCUAAUGCUUGGUUGUUGGUUUGCUUCACUUUAUGUUGUGGGGCAACUGAUGGAAGAGCUGAAGAGACUGUGGUAUGAAAGCAGAAUAUAUGUAUUAGGCUACGUCUUGACACUUGGGUGUGUCAGCUUUGCUGUUUGCUACAAGCACGGGCCCCUGGUGGAGGAGAGGAGCGUGGUGCUCCUGGCGUGGCUGCUGCGGCUUCUGUCCCUGCUCCUGGUGUACGCGGGGGUGUCCGCGCCCCAGUUCGCCUACACGGCCGCCCUGCUCCUCAUCCUGUCAUCCGGGAGUCGGCGCUAUCUGCGGAGCACGCUCGCCUGUGUCGGGAGGAAAAUGAAGAAAUGGUUUACAUCAGAGAAGCCGGCGGUGAAGUUUCUUACUGAAGACGAAUACAGGGAACAAGCUGAUGCCGCCACAACCUGCUGCCUGGAGGAGCUCCGUCAGGCCUGCCGCAGCCCCGGCUUCCCGUCCUGGCUGGCUGUCUCCAGGCUCCAGGAGCCGAAAAAGUUUGCAGACUUUGUUCUCGGAGGAAGCCACUUGUCGCCUGAAGAAGUGAGGCUCCAUGAAGAACAAUAUGGCCUUGGGGGUGCCUUCUUGGAAGAGCAGCUCUUUAACCUGAGGACUCGUGACAGUCUGCCUGCACAGUGACUUCAUCCUGGACAAGGAAGUGAGGAUGGGCAGGGAUCCUGUGAAAGGUGGGCAGAACUGUUCCAGGGAACAGUGGCCAAAGCAUUUGCUACAGAGAAACAUCAAACCAUACUGGAAAGGAAAGCUAAACUAUAUAGAAGAUAACUGAUCCUUCUUGUUCAGUUCUGUGUGUUGUGCUGUAGGUGGCACCGAGAUUGUGUGACGGUCAUCAUCUCUUUCCUUGAAUGAAGACUCUCAGGAACAAGGGAAUCGUGUUGAUCUUCAAAGGACCAAUUAAUGUGAAUAAGUUCCUUGUCAACUCCAGAGCAUUAAAGCUACUCUUAAACCCCAGAACCUGCAACAAAAUAGUGCAUUGCUCUUCCUGCAUGUUAUCAGUGUAAGGACUGGAAGAGACCUGAGAUAUGCUGGACCAAUGUUUUCCAAAGUGUAAUCCACAGGAUGCUAAAGUGUUAGCAGGUUGCCAAACCUUCCAAGUUAUCUCCAGGGUGGCACUAACAGGUGAGACCAACAGCCGGAGUUUGAAGGCACUGGACUUCCACGUAUCCGGAAUAUCUAGCGAUCCUAAAUGGAGCUACAACCACAUGCCAUGUGAGUACCAGGCACAUGAGGGGGCAUUCAGAAUGACCAGGGCUUUUUUUCAGGCUUGUUUGACCACAACAGAAGCAGGGACGGCCUCCCUGCCUCCUGGGGUCAGGGAAAGUCCUGGGUGGACAUUAGGUGGGUUUGAGUUUUGAAUCCUGGCUUUGUGACCUGGGCCCCGUAACAUAAGCUGAGUUACUUGCAGAAUCCGCCUACUUGAAGUGGGGACAGUGAUACCUAUCACCUCGGGUGGUUGUAUGGAAAAAACGACAAGGUCACAGCACACAAGCACACUGUAACAAUGGGUGUGGCUUCCUGUGAGUAACUAACCUCCCAGAAUCACUGCCUAACUCCAGAUCGACUGCAAGGAACACUGCUUAAAUAAUGGUCCCAGCGCCAUUGGCAGCCUCCCCCUGGCAGUUUUGGAGGAACUGCACAUCAGAGGGAAGCACUUGGCCAGCAUUCUGCUUCCUGUGGCCCAUGACAAGAUGAAUAAGCCAGUAAGGCUGUGAUGUUCUUCCUGUGAAUUCCUUAGACUUUUCAUGAGGUUUUUUUGGGAGGUUGGAUAUAUAUGUGUGAGUGUCAUCUCUUACUCUGCUUAAGGCUUUGAGUAAUAGUUUACUAAUUCGUAACUAACCUCUUCAGAUCCCACAUGAGCUCAGUGCUUUGUGUAAUUUACUUUUUCUACAAUUAAGGGAAAACUGUGAAACAGGUCAUUAAGGCAGUGAUUGCCAGCCUGGGCUUUGUGACCUCCCUAGGUAUUUCCAGGGGAUCUCAAAAGGCAUUAUAAAAUUCUCAAAUCAAAAUUUAAUUUGCACGCUAAUAUAUUUUUUAAUGGCACUUAAAGGACAGGAAGAAGUCACAAAGUCUACAAACCCAUGAAGGUGUCUGUUCUGAAAGGAUGGAAACUACUGCAUUGUUGAAUCAGCUCUCACAGUAAAUGUCUCAUAAUAAAGGCCUGUAGAAUUUGAUUUCAUUCGUUACAGAGCGAGGGACUUUUAUUUGUUUGGUCACAUCAUUAUCAUUUAGGAAAUAUUUAAAAAUGGUAUUUAUUUUUAUUUGAACAUGUCAACUGUGCAUUUCCAAAGCAGCAGGCUUUUCA